GAUGAACGCUGGCGGCGUGCUUAACACAUGCAAGUCGAACGAAGCACUUUAUUUGAUUUCCUUCGGGACUGAUUAUUUUGUGACUGAGUGGCGGACGGGUGAGUAACGCGUGGGUAACCUGCCUUGUACAGGGGGAUAACAGUUGGAAACGGCUGCUAAUACCGCAUAAGCGCACAGCAUCGCAUGAUGCAGUGCGAAAACCUCCGGAGGUAUAAGAUGGACCCGCGUUGGAUUAGCUAGUAGGGGAGGUAACGGCCCACCAAGGGGACGAGCCCUACCCGGCCUGGGAGGGUGGCCGGCCACUUUGGGGCUGGGCCACGGCCCAAACUCCUACGGGAGGCAGCAGUGGGUAAUGUUGCACAAUGGGGGAAGGCCUGAUGCAGCGACGCCGCGUGAGCGAAGAAGUAUUUCGGUAUGUAAAGCUCUAUCAGCAGGGAAGAUAAUGACGGUACCUGACGAAGAAGCACCGGCUAACUACGUG
rnacentral:rRNA from 1 species